CUUUCUUUGCUGGCGACCGGCGCACGGGUGAGUAACACGUAUCCAACCUGCCUCAUACUCGGGGAUAGCCUUUCGAAAGAAAGAUUAAUAUCCGAUAGCAUAUAUUUCCCGCAUGGGUUUUAUAUUAAAGAAAUUCGGUAUGAGAUGGGGAUGCGUUCCAUUAGUUUGUUGGGGGGGUAACGGCCCACCAAGACUACGAUGGAUAGGGGUUCUGAGAGGAAGGUCCCCCACAUUGGAACUGAGACACGGUCCAA
rnacentral:rRNA from 1 species